AUGAACGCUGGCGGUGUGCCUUAAGCAUGCAAGUCGAGCGGUCCAGCAAUGGACAGCGGCAGACGGGUGAGUAACGCGUAGGAAUCUACCUCAAACUGGGGAAUAGCUGGCCGAAAGGCCAAUUAAUACCGCAUGUGAUCGCGAGAUCAAAGCCGUAAGGCGGUUUGAGAGGAGCCUGCGUCCUAUCAGCUAGUUGGUGGGGUAAUGGCCUACCAAGGCAGUGACGGAUAGCCGAUGUGAGAGCAUGAUCGGCCACAAGGUUACUGAGACACGGAACCUACACCUACGGGUGGCAGCAACUGGGAAUCUUGCGCAAAUGGGCGAAAGCCUGACGCAGCGACACCGCGUGUGGGAUGAAGCCCUUAGGGGUGUAAACCACUGUGGCGAGGGAUGAAUUUUGACCGUACCUCGCUAGAAAGCACCUGCUAACCACGUGCCAGAAGCCUCGGCAAUACGUGGGGUGCGAGCGUUAUCCGGAUUUACUGGGCGUAAAGCGUACCGUCGGUGACUUGAUAAGUUAUUUGUCUAAGCCUAGGGCUCAACUCUAGAAAGGCAGGUAAAACUAUCAGGAUUGAGUCUGUUCGGGGAACUUGGAAUUCUCGGUGGAGGGGUGAAAUCCGUAGAUAUCGAGAGGAACGCCAAGCGCGAAGGCAGAGUUCUAGGACACGACUGACACUCAUGGACGAAAGCUAGGGGAGCAAAAGGGAUUAGAGACCCCUGUAGUCCUAGCCGUAAACAUUGGAUGCUAGCUGCCUCACUUCUUGUGGGGUGGCGUAAGCUAACGCGUUAAGCAUCCCGCCUGGGGAGUACGACCGCAAGGUUAAAACUCAAAGGAAUUGACGGGGGCGCCGCACAACGGUGGAGCAUGUGUUUAAUUCGAUAGCAACGCGAAAACCUUACCCAGCCUUGACAUCCAAUGCACGUUCAGAACAUGGAUUGUGCCUUCGGAGCAUUGUACACAGGUGCUGCAUGGCUGUCGUCAGCUCGUGUCGUGAGAUGUUGGGUUAAGUCCCGUAACGAGCGCAACCCUUGUCCUAGUGUACCAGCACGUAAGGUGGCACUCUAGGAGACUGCCGGUGACAAACCGGAGGAAAGGUGGGGAUGACGUCAAGUCAUCAUGGCCCUUACUGGCCUGGGCUACACACGUCAUACAAUGGUCGGUAACAGAGGGUUGCCAAGCCGCGAGGUGGAGCCUAAUCCCAUAAAACCGAUCGUAGUCCGGAUCGCAGUCUGCAACUCGACUGCGUGAAGUCGGAAUCGCUAGUAAUCGCGGAUCAGAAUGUCCGCGGUGAUACGUUCCCGGGUCUUGUACACACCGCCCGUCACACCAUGGGAGUGGGUUUGCACCAGAAGUAGGCUAGUCUAACCUGCAAGGGAGGACGGUUACCACGGUAGUGAUUCAUGACUGGGGUG
rnacentral:rRNA from 1 species